AUGGCGCCUCCUGCAUCGCCUGGCCGGCCGGCGGGACGCCGCCUCCCACUACACCUUCUGGCCGGCCGUCGGGGACACCGCCCCUACUACAUCGCCCGGCCGACCGUCGGGGAGGCCGCCUCCUCCAACGCUGCCUCCCCACCAUCCAACGAUGCCGCCGCCCUUCACCGCGUCGGCCGCUGCCCUCACUCCGACGCUGCGAGCUGCGGCGCCAUCGCCCUUCACCGCGUCGCCCGCUGCCCUCACUCCGACGUUGCAAGCCGCCUAACCGGCCUGAUCCACUCGAUCUGGAUUGCCAACCCUCCAGACUUUCUUUGA
rnacentral:rRNA from 1 species